rnacentral:lncRNA from 1 species
AUAUACGCCCUAUAAAAUACAGAAUCCCGAAAAACAUUCGACGUUUUAAGAUCCCUUUAUGGCCCAUAUCUGACCAGCUACAGAAACAAAAUGUGCAAAGAGCGCGAGAGAAGUGCUUGCAGUUUCGUAGAUAUCCAGUGAUGAAACAUUUCGCUCAAGGUCACAUAAUUAUUCAUUGUUGCUUGUAGAUACUACGAAAAAUUCGCGAUAUCCCUAGCAAUUAGUGAUAGCAAUAAUUGUUAUUGUGCGAAAUUUCUUGGCUUGCACCUACGCUGCCUAUGUCUGCUUGUAUUUUCCUAUUUUUCAUGGGAGAAGCCACAUGUACAGCUCAGCAUGUAGAGCUCAUUCGACUCUUAGCACGUUUUUAUGCGUGUACUUCAAAUCUUUCUGUGGUUCUUCCUGCUGUAAUUCUCACAGUGGAGAAAGAGUGAAUGAUCCUAGACGAGAGUCCUUCCAGAUCGCCGACCCUUACUGAUUUUUGGCUCUGUAAGUGAAAUUCUUGAUCGUAGUCGUCAUCUGCGAGAGUUGAGAACGACAUUAUACAGUACCGUCAACAGCAGUGAGUCUUUAGGCGAUGGAGCUGAUUCUGUAGCUCGAUCGCGGGUCUGGAUUUAUCGCCGCCAUCGUAGCAUCAUCGUUAAUAAUACCAGUAGCGUAUAACACUGACCCCGCCAGCGCCCUCAGCGGGUCAAUGCGAUCGCGAAAAAAAAAAGAAAGUAUGAAAAAUCAACCACCCAUGAGCCGUCAGAGGCAGCAACAAAAUCGAGCUUCAGAAACGCCGCGCUGCGUCAGAUUGGGCGGCGGUGACUGCCGGAGCUCUAAACAAGGAAAACAGCUCUCUAAGAUAUCGCAAUUUUCAUACGAUCACACCAGCGACAACAGUCGAAAAGCUAGUGCCCAGUGAUGGUCAACGCGAACAGCAGAAAAAACGCCGUAGCAUGGAAACAUACGGCACCCUCACAGCGCCGAUGGCCGCAGCGGUAAUGGCAAAUGUUUUAGACUCGAUAACGGCCGGCUUCGCUCUCAUCUUUAAUAGCCGCCAACAACUUGUUUUUACCUGUUCAACGGCUACCCUAGUCGGUGCCAUUACCGAUGUUGAUUUCUUCAAAGUUAAUUAAUUUCGCUGUUCGCUGCCCCCAUACAACGUCAACGUUCACAAGCAGCAGCAGUAACGAUUGCAGACGCUUCGGCCGCCCAGUAGACACUCUAUAGUCUAUAAAUGUAGCUCGACUGCGUCAAAUUGUCCGGCAAACGAAAUAAGUUUUGAAUACAUGUGAAUCUAUUGGUUUGCUAUGCCCUAUUAUGAGGGUAUAGGACUCUUUUUUUCGAAAGACGAAGCAGAAAUACCAGCCAUCGCCAUCAGCGGCAUCCUAUCCAGAUAGAACCGGCAACGUGAAUGCUGCUCGCGAGAUGCAUGCUUCGGUCGUACAAUCGGUUUGCCAUAUUGUCCAGUUCAGCUCUAGUGUGUAUUUGUGAUCAGUUUCCGUAGCACUUGCCAAUCGAAACGAAACAAGUAGCCUGUCACGAUCGCCUAUAACACAUAAGAGUGGAUGAGGUAAACGGUAAGACGAGGGUGAUGAUAACAAGUAUUUUUAGAAGAGAGCAAGGUGUUUAAUGUACAUUUGACAAACGGUAUGUGAAGUGUAUGUAUAUGCAAGAAAGAUGAAGAAAUUAUUACCUUCGGACGCCAUCAUCAAGCCCUACGAUCGGAAUAGAAUCUCAAGCUUUCCAUACGUAUGUGAACAGGUUAAAUACGGCUAUAUUUAUCGUGGAAUUUUGCCUUGAAAUGUAAUUUUAAUCUGUGUGCAAUAAUGUGUAUUGUACAUGUACACACUAGAUCCGUUACGACACUGCCUUGUCACCCCUCCCAGUCAAACUCAAAGCGAGUCUGAACCUGCCUCCAGAUCUAUUCCAAGAUGAAGUCAACUAUUCUACUAUAUUGAGGGGCACGUUGUGGUGUAGGUUCAAAUCCGGAAACAGGCACUCUUUAUGUUGCGGCAGGACACGGGCGUCUGAUGGAAUGAAUCGAACAUACAAUUCGAAAGAUAGAGAUGCGUGUUCCAGCCACCCUGUCACCGACAAAAUGUGCUUUUGGUAUCUAUCGCGAAAAAACAGGGAGCUUUAAACUUUGAGCAAGUUUAAGGACCAAGUGCCCUUGUAUAGCCCGGAUGGCCCGUGCGAAAAUAGAAGGCCACGUUACAACAUCUAAGUGCUCCUUAAUUAUAAUAUAUCACAUUGAAUUGAAACAAAUAACCGGUACACAGGACGUCAAACAUUUGAAUAAACAGCGUUUUUUCUUGUAAGCUAUGCUCUUAGUCUAGACUAUGGAUGUUUGUUUUUCUGCAUUUUUGAAUCGUUUGCGAAGAGAGAGAACUUCCACAGUUAGUUUUGAAUAUCCCUAGAAUAUGUGGUAAUAUUGUGUAUCGGUUUUACUUACGUACUGUGUGACAGCGACUACUGUUCAAUGAAGGAAAUGGCCCCGACUAGUUACAAUUGUUACUGACUAUAUCAAUGCACUAGAUUACAAAUUACGACUGCCUUGCUCGGGUUUACUACCAAAAUCGUACUUUCGGAUCAUAGCUAUUCACUUUCAGUCGAAUAAUACUGACUACUGAUAAGGGUGUAUUAUAAUGAGGACGUCAAUUAUAUUUUCCGCUGUUACGAAAACUCGCUCGACCAGUACCUUGUGAACUAUUUUCUUCAUUCAGCUCAAACUGUUGUACGUAAAGGUCAUCGCCGCAUAGAUCUGGCACACUGAUGAUGGUCUGUUCGUGAACAUCUAGUUGAGGCUGUCACAGGUAUAGUUUGUGAAGGCAUUUCUUACUAAACUGUAUGCGUUAUUCAUUCUAGCCGUAAGCAACAGAGUCUUUUUGGCAUUUUCGUACAACUAAGCUACGUUUGUGCUUGUCUCAUCUCUGUAUAUAUAGUAUAUGUAAUAAAUACCGUAAACAGUUGGAAAUGUUGGAUGAUAAUGACUAAUGCGCAGUUUGUGUAUAAGUAGUCGUACACGACGAUUUUCCAAACGGUACAGUUUCACGUAAUCGUUCUGGACAUAUUUUGACGUGUCUGGAUAUUUUCAGAGAAUCACUUUUUGUGCGCAACAGUGGAUUGUAUCUAAGCGAACUCCUUCUGUUAGCCCUGUUUGUACCAUCAUAUGAUGAGAGUUGUCUGCAAAGAGCGUCGCAAAUCCAA